CUACGGGGUGCAGCAGUGGGGAAUUUUGCGCAAUGGGCGAAAGCCUGACGCAGCAAUACCGCGUGAGUGAAGAAGGCCUUUGGGUCGUAAAGCUCUUUUAUUGGGGAAGAUAGUGACGGUACCCAAUGAAUAAGCACCGGCUAACUCCGUGCCAGCAGCCGCGGUAAUACGGAGGGUGCAAGCGUUGUUCGGAUUUACUGGGCGUAAAGGGCACGUAGGCGGCAUAGUAAGUUAAGGGUGAAAUCCCGGGGCUCAACUCCGGAACUGCUCUUAAAACUGCUAAGCUUGAGAUGGUCAGAGGCGGGUAGAAUUCCUGGUGUAGAGGUGAAAUUCGUAGAUAUCAGGAGGAAUACCGGAGGCGAAGGCGGCCCGCUGGGACUAUUCUGACGCUAAGGUGCGAAAGCGUGGGGAGCAAACGGGAUUAGAUACCCUCGUAGUC
rnacentral:rRNA from 1 species